ensembl:lncRNA
GGGGAGUUAGAGGUACCCAGUUUCACGGCUCCAGACCACCACCAGGAGGAGGUAGAGGUACCCAGUGUCACGGUUCCAGACCACCACCAGGGGGAGUUAGAGGUACCCAGUGUAACGGCUCCAGACCACCACCAGGGGGAGUUAAAGGUACCCAGUGUCACGGUUCCAGACCACCACCAGGGGGAGUUAGAGGUACCCAGUGUAACGGCUCCAGACCACCACCAGGGGGAGUUAGAGGUACCCAGUGUAACGGCUCCAGACCACCACCAGGGGGAGUUAGAGGUACCCAGUGUCACGGCUUCAUUGCUUCAGACCACCACCAGGGGAGUUAGAGGUACCCAGUGUCAUGGCUCCAGACCACCACCAGGGGGAGUUAGAGGUACCCAGUGUAACGGCUCCAGACCACCACCAGGGGGAGGUAGAGGUACUCAGUGUCACGGCU